GUGCACCAGGCGCGAAACCUUCGCAAUGCGGGAAACCGCGACGAGGGACUCCCAGUGCCUACGCUCAGCGUAGGCUGUUCCCGAGCCUAGAAAGCUCGGGGAGUAAGGGCUGGGUAAGACGGGUGCCAGCCGCCGCGGUAAUACCCGCAGCCCGAGUGGUGGCCACUAUUAUUGGGCCUAAAGCGUCCGUAGCCGGCCCGGUAAAUGCCUGGGUAAAUCGUGAGGCCUAACCUCACGAACUCCGGGUAGACUGCCGGGCUAGGGACCGGAGGAGGGAGAGGGUACUCCAGGGGUAGGGGUGAAAUCCUGUAAUCCCUGGAGGACCACCGGUGGCGAAGGCGCUCUCCUAGGACGGGUCCGACGGUGAGGGACGAAAGCCAGGGGAGCGAACCGGAUUAGAUACCCGCGUAGU
rnacentral:rRNA from 1 species